UGAGUAACGCGUAGGUAACCUGCCUGGUAGCGGGGGAUAACUAUUGGAAACGAUAGCUAAUACCGCAUAAAAUUGAUUAUUGCAUGAUAAUUAAUUGAAAGAUGCAAUUGCAUCACUACCAGAUGGACCUGCGUUGUAUUAGCUAGUUGGUGAGGUAACGGCUCACCAAGGCGACGAUACAUAGCCGACCUGAGAGGGUGAUCGGCCACACUGGGACUGAGACACGGCCCAGACUCCUACGGGAGGCAGCAGUAGGGAAUCUUCGGCAAUGGGGGGAACCCUGACCGAGCAACGCCGCGUGAGUGAAGAAGGUUUUCGGAUCGUAAAGCUCUGUUGUAAGAGAAGAACGGGUGUGAGAGUGGAAAGUUCACACUGUGACGGUAUCUUACCAGAAAGGGACGGCUAACUACGUGCCAGCAGCCGCGGUAAUACGUAGGUCCCGAGCGUUGUCCGGAUUUAUUGGGCGUAAAGCGAGCGCAGGCGGCUAGAUAAGUCUGAAGUUAAAGGCUGUGG
rnacentral:rRNA from 1 species